rnacentral:misc_RNA from 1 species
GAUGAAGAACGCAGCGAACGUGCGAAACGUAAUGUGAAUUGCAGAAUUCAGUGAAUCAUCGAAUCUUUGAACGCAUCUUGCGCUCCUUGGUAUUCCGAGGAGCAUGCCUGUUUGAGUGUCGUGAAUACUCUCAACUUCAACCCUUUUUUCGGAAAGGGAGGAAGGUUGGACUUGGGUGUUUGUUGAAGUGCGAGCUUCGACUCAUCCUAAAUGCAUUAGCGAUCUGCCUCGAUCACACACAAUGUGAUAAUUAAAACUAAAGCAUUGUUUAAUGAUCAAGUCGAGACUGCUUCUAACUGUCGCAAGACAAUAACGUGCAUACAUUUGUGCAUGUCAUUUGACCUCAAAUCAGGUAGGACUACCCGCUGAACUUAAGCAUAUCAAUAAGCGGGGA